rnacentral:lncRNA from 1 species
CUCAAAACUCCUUGAGCCAAUAAGUAGACCCCAGUCCAAUUUAUACCCGUCAAACAAUCGAUUCUACAACAACCAGUGCAUUUUAAUCAAUUUUAAAGUUUCACACCUAAACAUGGAAUUCACUGUUGAUAUAGAGGAAGAAAGGAAUUAACUAUUCAAUUCUUACCUGUUACUACUUUAGGAUAAUUGACAAUAGGAAAUUUUAUAUACCUGAGUUCAAGAAUAAGUGAGUUAUAAUGAACCCUAGAAUUUUUCCGUGCGUGAGCAAUUCUUGGCUACCUCUGUUCGUAAGGCUUUAAAUGUUUUCUACGCCUGGCGUGAAUAAACAGAACAUUAGUUCUGUAUUGCUUUAAGGCUUUAAGCCUU